CACUCCUCCCUCAUCAUCUCUUCCUCUAUUCUUUGUUCCUCACACGAACACCGACACUCCAUGCGAAUGACGACCUCUGCUUCCAAACACCGACCUUCGUUGGCUGCUUCCAAACUCUGAUUUCACUAUUAGGUGGCCAAGCCCUAACCCAAUGCAUGCCUUUAAUGGGGACAGCUUUAGUGGUACUUGCUGGGCUCAUUUCAGCUUUAAAAGUUGUUGGUGGAUCCUUAUUUGACCAUAGGUUUUCAUUCCUCGGUGCUGGAGAAGUGGGAGCAUAGUUAGAAUGAUUUUGCUAGGAUUACUUCAUAUGGGAUUGAUAGGUGUGUAAUUUUGGGGGAUUGGUUUUAGUUUUGGAAAUGUACUAUUUUAUAUAGGGGUUGAUAGUUAGACAUACUUUUGAAAUUAUUCAUUUGGGGUUGACUAUAAUAUUAGAUUUGUUCA